UUAAGAAAUACAAACUGUGGGAGCUGAAUCUGGAAUUGUUCAAUCUGGGUGUUCACCUUGAUAAGGACAGUUCCAAUGACAUGAAAAACAAAAAGAAGAUGAAGCAGGCACUCCAGAAGCGUCUCAUUAGUGAGCUGCUGAAGAUCCACGUGGACAGAGCCAACAAGAGAGCUAAAGAACUCCAAAUGAGUAACCCAGAUAUUAUCACACAGAAUGUGUUCAAUUAUGGGAAUGCCUCACUGGAGAGUGAACUUCCCAAACGUAUGGACAAUGUUGAAGACAACAAUGACAGCACUGAUGGACAUGAAGUGGACAGCACUCUGACUCUGACUCUGAUUUCUGCCGAGCACCUGAAUAAAACGGCAUGAACGAAUGAAAUGCCAAAGGAUGAUGUAAACAGCAUCAGACUGAAAGUUGGCACAGGGGAAGGUGACAACGCAUUUCAACAUGGCAA